GACGAACGCUGGCGGCGUGCCUAAUACAUGCAAGUAGAACGCUGAAGAGAGGAGCUUGCUCUUCUUGGAAGAGUUGCGAACGGGUGAGUAACGCGUAGGUAACCUGCCUUGUAGCGGGGGAUAACUAUUGGAAACGAUAGCUAAUACCGCAUAACAAUGGGUGACCCAUGUCAUUCAUUUGAAAGGGGCAACUGCUCCACUACAAGAUGGACCUGCGUUGUAUUAGCUAGUAGGUGAGGUAACGGCUCACCUAGGCGACGAUACAUAGCCGACCUGAGAGGGUGAUCGGCCACACUGGGACUGAGACACGGCCCAGACUCCUACGGGAGGCAGCAGUAGGGAAUCUUCGGCAGUGGGGGCAACCCUGACCGAGCAACGCCGCGUGAGUGAAGAAGGUUUUCGGAUCGUAAAGCUCUGUUGUAAGUCAAGAACGAGUGUGAGAGUGGAAAGUUCACACUGUGACGGUAGCUUACCAGAAAGGGACGGCUAACUACGUGCCAGCAGCCGCGGUAAUACGUAGGUCCCGAGCGUUGUCCGGAUUUAUUGGGCGUAAAGCGAGCGCAGGCGGUUUGAUAAGUCUGAAGUUAAAGGCUGUGGCUCAACCAUAGUUCGCUUUGGAAACUGUCAAACUUGAGUGCAGAAGGGGAGAGUGGAAUUCCAUGUGUAGCGGUGAAAUGCGUAGAUAUAUGGAGGAACACCGGUGGCGAAAGCGGCUCUCUGGUCUGUAACUGACGCUGAGGCUCGAAAGCGUGGGGAGCGAACAGG
rnacentral:rRNA from 1 species